rnacentral:tRNA from 1 species
GGUCGUGUGGCCUAAUGGAUAAGGCGUCGGACUUCGGAUCCGAAGAUUGCAGGUUCGAGUCCUGCUUCGAUCA